AAUGAACGUUGGCGGCGUGGAUUAGGCAUGCAAGUCGAGCGAGAAGGGUUUUUUGCUUGCAUUAAACCUGGAAAGCGGCGAAAGGGAGAGUAACGCGUAGGACACCUGCCCUCAGGCCCGGAAUAGCGGCGGGAAACUGCCGGUAAUACCGGAUAAUGUCUCCGGACCAAAGGUGAGAUUCCGCCUGAGGAUGGUCCUGCGUCCUAUUAGUUUGUUGGUGAGGUAACGGCUUACCAAGACGAUGAUGGGUAGCGGGCGUGAGAGCGUGGCCCGUCUCACUGGGACUGAGACACUGCCCAGACACCUACGGGUGGCUGCAGUCGAGAAUCUUCCGCAAUGGACGCAAGUCUGACGGAGCGACGCCGCGUGCGGGAUGAAGGCCUUCGGGUUGUAAACCGCUGUCAGUGGGGUGGAAAUCUUAUGGAGCUAUCUCCAUAAGUUGACCUAACCGCAGAGGAAGUCCGGGCUAAGUACG
rnacentral:rRNA from 1 species